rnacentral:lncRNA from 12 species
CUGGAUGUUAUACCAGAAUGAAAUAUAUUUCUUCCAACAAGAUUUUGUUUAUCUAGGAACCUGUGAAUGAACUACAUGCACAAUACAAACUCUAAAAAAGUUGCAAUUUAUGCCACAAUAGAGGACUUCAAGCCAUAGAAAG